rnacentral:tRNA from 1 species
GCUCCCUUGGACAACUGGCGAAGUCGCUGGCCUUUCAAGCCGGAGGGACGGGAUCGAAACCCGUAGGGAGUACCA